rnacentral:tRNA from 1 species
AAGAGUAUUGCUCAAGUGGUAGAACGCAUGUUUAGCAGGCAUGAGGUCCUGGGUUCAGUCCCCAGUACUUUCC